rnacentral:rRNA from 1 species
AGCAGCCGCGGUAAUUCCAGCUCCAAUAGCGUAUAUUAAAGUUGUUGCAGUUAAAAAGCUCGUAGUUGAAUUUCGGGGUUAGUAGGUUGGUCAUGCCUCUGGUAUGUACUGGUCUCACUGAUUCCUCCUUCCUGAUGAGCCGUAAUGCCAUUAAUUUGGUGUUGCGAGGAAUCUGGACUGUUACUUUGAAAAAUUAGAGUGUUUAAAGCAGGCUAACGCUUGAAUACAUUAGCAUGGAAUAAUGAAAUAGGACGUUCGAUCCUAUUUUGUUGGUUUCUAGGAUUGACGUAAUGAUUAAUAGGGAUAGUUGGGGGCAUUAGUAUUCAAUUGUCAGAGGUGAAAUUCUUGGAUUUAUUGAAGACUAACUACUGCGAAAGCAUUUGCCAAGGAUGUUUUCAUUAAUCAAGAACGAAAGUUAGGGGAUCGAAGACGAUCAGAUACCGUCGUAGU